rnacentral:sRNA from 1 species
AUUUACUGUUUCUAAGCAAUAUUUUGUUGGUUCUAGCUUCUUUUGGGAGAAAAUGGGUAUAAGUGUUGUCUAAACACUACUAAUCCAUCUCUAACUCUUAUAACUAGUCAAAUGCAUUGGAUAGUUGUACAUUAUGACGAUAGAAAAACAAAGCUAUUUACUGUUUCUAAGCAAUAUUUUGUUGGUUAUAGCUUCUUUUGGGAGAAAAUGGAUAUAAGUGUUGUCUAAACACUCAUUUUAAUCUCCUUUGAGGUUCAAUGCUAAAGUAGGAUUCAUUUUCAAGAUGGAUUCUAUGGGUGCAUAAGGUGGGCGAAAUCCCCUUAAUAUCAUCUAACGAAUAUCCUAUAGCUUUCCUAUACUUCUUGAGCUCGGUUAUCAGCAGGUUUACUUGAUCAGCAGUUAGCCCAUCAUUCACUAUGACAGGAUAAGUAGAGUUUAGUCCAAGAAAAACGUACCUUAGCCCUUUUGGUAGCGGUUUCAAAUCUACUUUGGGUGCCUUGAGUUCAGACCAGUCAUCAGAUACUAAGUUGACUUCAGAGGGGUUGUUGUGGUCGAGUAGCUCGGUCGAGUACACAGAAUGGGCUGUUGGUCGAGUGAUGAGGUCGAGUAUAUAUUCCUCCCUUGCUCUUUCACCCAAAUCUUCAUACUCUCCUGGAUUCUCAACUGCUUUGUGUUCAUCUAACAGCUUUUGGUACCCCAAAAUCUCCAAAUGUAAAUCUCCUUCCUUGCUAUCCUUUGUUAGAGCAUUCUGUAGAUGAUCUGUUUCUCCCAGCUCUUCUAGCAUUUCGUCAGCUAACAUAUCCAUCUCUUCAAUCCAGAAAACAUUUCCUUCUAUCGUAGGCUUCUUCAUGGUGUUGGUGAUAUCGAAGGUCAUCUUGAGAUCUCUCCCGAGGUUAAGAUCAAUUUUUCCCUUCUUAACAUCAAUGAUAGCUCCAGCUGUAGCUAAAAAUGGUCUUCCCAAUAUCAAAGGGUCUUUGGGUUCUUCAUCCAUUUCUAAAACCACAAAGUCUGUCGGUACUUCGACCAUGCCUAUCAUGACUGGUAAGUCCUCCAGCAGACCAUGGGGAAUCCUAACAGAUCUGUCAGCUAGGAUCAAGGAUAUAUUGCAGGGCUUGUACUUGUUGAAGCCCAGUUUCUUUGCCACAGAGAGAGGCAUGAGACUCACAGAUGCACCUAGAUCACAGAGGCACUUGUUGAAGGCUAAAGGGCCUAGAGCGCAAGGUAAGGUGAAGGAACCAGGAUCUCCUAGUUUUUUUGGAAUGAUCUUCUGCUGAAUGAUUGCACUGCAUUCGUGACUUAGCACCACCAUUCCUUGGACUUCUUUGAUCCUCUCUGUAAUCAUGUCUUUCACAUAUUUGUUAGAGUCUGGUAUAAGUGCAAGACAGUCGACAAGAGGCAUCGUGACUUCAAGAUUUUUCAAUUGUUUCUCCAGGAGAGCUUUGUACUUCUGUAUCAUGACCUUCUUGAAUCGACCAGGAAAUGGGAGUGGGGGCUUGUAAGGUGGGGGAACGAAGACGUUGUCUUUGGUUUUGGCGGCAGCUGGUUUUUCAACAAGAGGAGAUGCUGCAGGAGCUAGUAGUCGAGUAGGUUGGUCGAGUAUAGGCUCUUCUAUUGCUUUUUCAGCAGAAUUUCCAUUUUGACAGAAAUCCUCCCCAUCUUGAUCCACACUGUCCUCAGUGUUCUGGUUCGGGCUCUCUUUUGUGGGUAAUUCUUUACCGCUUCUAAGUGUGAUAGCAUGAGCGUACUCCUCUGAAUUUGACAUUGAUUUUCUGGAAGGUCCUGUAAAUUUGGGUGCUGCGGUCGACCCAGUUUGGCCAUCUAUGUAUCUAAUCUUAGAUGUCAGUGCUUCAACCUUGAUAUUGAUAUCAUUGUAACUGCAGUCAACCUUGUUGUGAAUUUCUGCCAUCCUUUUGGACAAAUCCAUUGCUCCUGUUGCUUGCCCUUGUAGAAUCUGCUGUAACAUGUUCUUCAAGUCUGAAUCUGGAGUUGUUGAAGCUGGUUGUUGUUUCUGCUGUGUGAACCCAGGUGGUGGAAGUUGCUGCUGAUAGUUGCCCUGAUACUGCUGCUUAGGAACAUACCCUUGACCUUGGUUGUAUGGAACAAAGGGCUUGGGUUGAUUCUGCUGCUGUGAAGGGUAAACUUGGUCCUGCGGGUUUGCAACGUUUGUACUUCUGUAAGACAGAUUGGGAUGGUUCUGCUUGAAGUUGUUGAAACCUUUGUUGUAACCUCCUUGGUUCUGCACAUAACUGACCUCUUCUGACUGCAUAGUCUCCCCAUCCUGAACUUGGAACGUCUAAUCAUCACCCAGAAAAUGAAUGUGCUUCUGUUGCACAAGCAGUAGCUUGUCCAGUUUGUCAUUCAUGGCUUUCAUUUCCCUGCGGUGCUUCUCAUCAGAAUCAGAGCUGGUGCGGACGCUUCUAUCAUAAUCUUCAUUAUAGUUGCCAUCCGACUGAGCUAAGUUCUCUACCAGCUCCCAUCCGUCUUCAACGUCUUUGUUGAGAAAGUUCCCGUUAGAAGCGGUAUCUAGAAGCAUCCUGAUCUUUGGGAGGACACCUCUGUAGAGAGUGCUGAGAAGCGAAGCUUUGGAGAAACCAUGAUGAGGACAUUGCGUCUGAUAACCUUUGAAGCGCUCCCAUGCUUCGCAGAAAGUCUCAUUAUUCGUCUGAGUGAAACCGGAGAUAUCAUUCCUUAGUCUCGCAGUCCUGGAGUUUGAGAAAAACUUAGCCAAGAAGGCUUUCUUGCAGUCAUUCCAGGAGGUGAUAGAGCCUUGAGGAAGCGACUUUUCCCACUGAUGGGCUUUGUCUCCAAGAGAGAAAGGAAACAAUCUGAGCUUGAAGCCAUCCUCACUGACUCCAUUGAUCUUUGUUAGGCUGCAGAGCCUAUCAAACUCGUCCAGGUGAUCGAGUGGAUCCUCCAUAGGGAGGCCGUGGAACUUGUUGCUCUGAACCAUGGCAAUGAGACCGCUCUUGAUCUCAAAGUUGUUGUUCGGCACAGGUGGAGGCACGAUGCCAUUACGCUGAUUGUGGUUGCGUGGUGCAUCGCCUGCACCUAUGUUGUUUGGUUGCACCUGCUCAUCAACAACUGCAGCCAUUGUGUCUGUUUCUGUCUGUGUUCUGAGUUGGCGUGCAAUACGGUCGAUGUUAUCGUUGAACAGGAGAUUCUGAUUUCCUCGUGACCGUGUUUGCAUACAACGAGUACCAACUGGUGAAGCUAGUGAUUCGUAGUACCUGAAUCAAAACAGACAAACAGAAAUAACACAAAGUUAGUAACUUUCAGAAAAAAUGAAAAAGAACUUGAUCUUAAAUAUUCUGAAAUCUCAAAUAUAGCAAACAAACACCCAAUUGGCAACGGCGCCAAAUUGAUAAUAAGUUUUUAGUCAAUUAUUCCUAAAACACCAAUCAUGUCGUUGUAGUAUUUUAGGUGUCAAUCCAAAUGGGUGUGAUGCAAACAGAUGAGAUGUGAUCAGAAGUCACUAAGUCAAGCCAAGCAAUAACAGUUUUGGGGUUUCUAACAGUCCUAAGCGAACAUGCAGAAAACAGAAGCAAUAACAGAAUUACUAAAAUCACUCGACCACAACAGGCUGAUGCCAGAAGUAGGAUGUGGUCGAGUAACUGGUCGAGUAAUAGACAGGAUAUGAAACAGCUAUACUCGACUGCACAGUCUGUUGCCAGACACUGGGUGUGGUCGAGUAAGUUGGUCGAGUGAUUGUAAAAACUAAGAAAGAGGCAAUGAGAACGAUUAAGCGAUAACGAUAAAACAGAGAAAUAAGAUAGACGAGAAAUUCCUAAGGAUGGGGUAAUCGAGUAGAGUGGUGUCCUAGCCUAUUCGAAUGGUUAACAAGCGCAAUCAAGCUAUCCCUAGACAACAGGUUCAACAACAGACCAAUUCACUCCCGUGAUAGAAAUCCUCAAGCAAAGCUAGCCCAGACUAAUUCCCAUUAACGGAAUCUAACUAUGCAGGCAAUACGAACAGACUGAUAAAGUCAAUAAACGCUCUAAACGGCCAAUCCCUUGGGAUAGAGACGCAUAUCUCAGGAACUAGUGGAUCAAGCAUUCCAUCGAACACCUUCUGGGUGCGGGAAUCCUUGGGAUCGAAUUCCAGUUGAUCAGAAAGAAAUAAGCAGUAAACGCAACUAAUCCUAAAGGGAUUCAAUCAAUUCUAAAACUUAACCAUUCUAAGUCACUACUCAGACAGCAUGCUCAAAGACAUAAACGCAGGUAAACGAUAAUAUUGCAUAAGUAAAGAGAUAAAGAGUAGAGAAACAAGAUGACUAAUGAAAUCAAACGCGGAAUCUCAAUAACUUGGAAAAAUCGCGAACUACAGGUUGCAGAAGCAAAAGCGGCGUAGCAGAGUAAAACUGAAAAUAAAAGUGAAGCAAAAACGCAAUGUCGACUAGAUGUCUCAGGACAAAACCCUAAAACAUCUAUUUAUACCAAACGAAAUAAAAUGAUAGUAGACGGGCCAAUAACCUAAUCGCCCGGCCCAUAGAGUGAUAAUGGGCCGAGAUGGGCUUCGUGAUCCGAUGGAGGUCCAGGCCGCUUCCAAACACUUUGUCUUCUCCUCUUUUCUUCCUUGUGCUCAGCUUGUCUGGUUGAGUGCGGAUUUGAGUAGACUGUGAAGACGUGAUUGAGUGUCCGGUCGAGUGAUGGUGAUGGUGGUGAGUGAUGAUACUCGACCAGGGGGUCGAGUAACGUGGUAGAGUGAAUGGUCGAGUGUGGUCAGGUGGUGUGGCGAAGCGGUACUCGACCAGGGGGUCGAGUAAUGUCGUCGAGUGGCCUGAGCUGAGGUUACUCGACCUGGUGGUCGAGUGGACGGGAAGAAUGGCUCCAAAGUCACUCGACCUGGGGGUCGAGUAUGUGGGAAGAAUGGCUCCAAAGUCACUCGGCCUGGGGGUCGAGUAUGUCUUCUGGUUCUGGCUCGUUUCUUCCAAUUUGCUCGCAAACAGCUCGAAAUCACCUGAAAACAACUCAGAAAUGCAAUAUGUAUGCAAAGCUAUCCUAAUCAUGCAAAGUGUGCAAGAAUGAUGAGAAAUGAUAUAAAACAGUGAUGAAUGAUACGAAACUAGACUCAAAGUGAUGAUGAAUAGACACUGAAAACAUGCAAAUUAUAGACAUAUCAACUCCCCCAAACUUAGUCUUUGCUUGCCCUCAAGCAAAUAAGAAGACAUAGUUGAAGGAGAGGAGUGAAGGCGGGGACUCAGAACCAAAGCAUAUGAUAGAGCAAAUAAAAUCAAUGUCCAAGUUGGUAGUUCUAAGAUGCGAUAUGAUUGAAUUGCACUCAAAAACGUUAGCCAUGCCUUGUUAUCAAUAAAUCUGUCUCUUAUACUCGACCUACACAUGUUUUCAAAUCUACCAAUCCCUUUAACAUUCAUUAGUUCUGGAACGUGAAUCAAGCAAUGCAUCAUCAAUGAACUCAUUUGGCUAAGGUGAAGGUCAAGAGACAAAGAUGGUCCCCUACAGAAUAGGCUUAAGUAACAGGGGAUCCCUCAAGAAUGAUUGAGCUUUAGUAGAAUGCUAAAGGUAAGUCCCAAGUUAUGCAUACAGAGAUAAGAUCCCAUCUACCCAGAGUAUAACAAUGAAGCUCUAAUGGUAAUCCCAACUCCUGUCCCAACUUAACUCUACCCUUUGCACUCAUGAAUCUUUCAAACUCUUUUUCAUAUCAUUCUUUUCUUUUCUCUUAACUCUAGGAGAAGCUUUCUCAACGUUCUGAUACAUCUAGCGGGUUUGGAUUUCUUUAACAACUAAGGUUCCUGUUUUUUUU